AUUGAACGCUGGCGGCAUGCCUAACACAUGCAAGUCGAGCGGAUGAAUGGUUCUUGCUCCCUUUUUCCGCUGCCGACUGGUGGGUGAUUCCUAUGUAUCUCCCUUUUCUUUUUUUACUACGUUUCUUCAGGAACCCUAAUACCCCAUUCGUCCUUCUGUUGUACGUGUUGGAUCUUCGGACCUCACGCUCUCAGCUGAUCCUAUUUCGGAUUAGCUAGUUGGUUAGGUAAAGGCUCACCAAGGCGACGAUCCGUAGCUGGUCUGAGAGGAUGAUCAGUCACACUGGAACUGAGACACGGUCCAGACUCCUACGGGAGGCAGCAGUGGGGAAUAUUGGACAAUGGGCGAAAGCCUGAUCCAGCAAUGCCGCGUGAGUGAAGAAGGUCUUCGGAUUGUAAAGCACUUUAAGUGGGGAAGAAAAGAAGUAAGUUAAUACAUGGCUGUUUUGACGGUACCAAAAGAAUAAGCAACGGCUAACUUCGUG
rnacentral:rRNA from 1 species